rnacentral:rRNA from 1 species
UACGUAGGGUGCAAGCGUUGUCCGGAAUUAUUGGGCGUAAAGAGCUCGUAGGCGGUCUGUCGCGUCGGCUGUGAAACCCCGGGGCUCAACCCCGGGCCUGCAGUCGAUACGGGCAGACUAGAGUUCGGUAGGGGAGACUGGAAUUCCUGGUGUAGCGGUGAAAUGCGCAGAUAUCAGGAGGAACACCGGUGGCGAAGGCGGGUCUCUGGGCCGAUACUGACGCUGAGGAGCGAAAGCGUGGGGAGCAAACAGG